rnacentral:rRNA from 1 species
AACGAACGCUGGCGGCAUGCCUAACACAUGCGAGUCGAACGAGACCUUCGGGUCUAGUGGCGCACGGGUGCGUAACGCGUGGGAACCUGCCCUUAGGUUCGGAAUAACUCCCCGAAAGGGGUGCUAAUACCGGAUAAUGUCUUCGGACCAAAGAUUUAUCGCCUUUGGAUGGGCCCGCGUUGGAUUAGCUAGUUGGUAGGGUAAAAGCCUACCAAGGCGACGAUCCAUAGCUGGUCUGAGAGGAUGAUCAGCCACACUGGGACUGAGACACGGCCCAGACUCCUACGGGAGGCAGCAGUGGGGAAUAUUGGACAAUGGGCGAAAGCCUGAUCCAGAAAUGCCGCGUGAGUGAUGAAGGCCUUAGGGUUGUAAAGCUCUUUUACCCGGGAUGAUAAUGACAGUACCGGGAGAAUAAGCGCCGGCUAACUCCGUG